CACUCCUACGGGAGGCAGCAGUGGGGAAUAUUGGACCAUGGGCGCAAGCCUGAUCCAGCCAUGCCGCGUGAGUGAUGAAGGCCCUAGGGUUGUAAAGCUCUUUCACCGGUGAAGAUAAUGACGGUAACCGGAGAAGAAGCCCCGGCUAACUUCGUGCCAGCAGCCGCGGUAAUACGAAGGGGGCUAGCGUUGUUCGGAUUUACUGGGCGUAAAGCGCACGUAGGCGGACUAUUAAGUCAGGGGUGAAAUCCCGGGGCUCAACCCCGGAACUGCCUUUGAUACUGGUAGUCUUGAGUUCGAGAGAGGUGAGUGGAAUUCCGAGUGUAGAGGUGAAAUUCGUAGAUAUUCGGAGGAACACCAGUGGCGAAGGCGGCUCACUGGCUCGAUACUGACGCUGAGGUGCGAAAGCGUGGGGAGCAAACAGGAUUAGAAACCCGUGUAGUCCCAUGA
rnacentral:rRNA from 1 species